AGCAGCCGCGGUAAUUCCAGCUCCAAUAGCGUAUAUUAAAGUUGUUGUGGUUAAAAAGCUCGUAGUUGAACCUUGGGCCUGGCUGGCCGGUCCGCCUCACCGCGUGUACUGGUCCGGCCGGGCCUUUCCCUCUGUGGAACCCCAUGCCCUUCACUGGGUGUGGCGGGGAAACAGGACUUUUACUGUGAGAAAAUUAGAGUGCUCCAGGCAGGCCUAUGCUCGAAUACAUUAGCAUGGAAUAAUAGAAUAGGACGUGUGGUUCUAUUUUGUUGGUUUCUAGGACCGCCGUAAUGAUUAAUAGGGACAGUCGGGGGCAUCAGUAUUCAAUUGUCAGAGGUGAAAUUCUUGGAUUUAUUGAAGACUAACUACUGCGAAAGCAUUUGCCAAGGAUGUUUUCAUUAAUCAGGAACGAAAGUUAGGGGAUCGAAGACGAUCAGAUACCGUCGUAGUCUUAACCAUAAACUAUGCCGACUAGGGAUCGGGCGGUGUUAUU
rnacentral:sRNA from 1 species